UACAGAGGGUGCGAGCGUUAAUCGGAAUUACUGGGCGUAAAGCGCGCGUAGGCGGCUUUUCAAGUCGAUUGUGAAAUCCCCGGGCUUAACUGGGGAGGGUCACUCGAUACUGAUCGACUUGAAGGCGGGAGAGGGAAGCGGAAUUCCCGGUGUAGUGGUGAAAUGCGUAGAUAUCGGGAGGAACACCAGUGGCGAAGGCGGCUUUCUGGCCCGUUCUUGACGCUGAGGCGCGAAAGCUAGGGUAGCAAACGGG
rnacentral:rRNA from 1 species